CUUUACAAUGCAAGCACAGCUAGUAAUCCCCUUUCAGAUUUAUGUUCACAAAGCGUCUAUGGUAAUGUUAAGAAAAGCUCUUUUGACUAAAACUACACAAUGCUCUGAAGCUAGAACCUGCUUUGGUUGCAGGUCUGCACAGCGAAGUCUGUACGGUGCUUUCCCAAGCCUCUCAUCUGAACAGGAACGGGAGCACGCUGGGUUAUGUGCUGUUCACCGGGGGAGGAAGCAAUCUGCCUGUGGUGACUAAAGGCCUCCAUUCCCCUACCAAGGUCAGCAGAAGCAUCCCCUGCCUUUGGCUACAUCAUAAUUGCAUUAAUAAAGACCGCGGCUCCCAGGGGUAGAGGCUGCA
rnacentral:lncRNA from 1 species